AUGAGUAGGUGUGUCCAGACCUUUGACUGGUACUGUAUAUCCACCAUCACCCUCUACGGAACCCCAGGUCUCACUACUGUCCUCUAUAGAACCCCAGGUCUCACUACUGUCCACUACAGAACCCCAGGUCUCACUACUGUCCACUACAGAACCCCAGGUCUCACUACUGUCCACUACAGAACCCCAGGUCUCACUACUACUCAGAUCCAUCUCACAGGAACAGACCCAGGUCUCACUACUGUCGACUACCAGAACCCCAGGUCUCACUACUGUCCACUACAGAACCCCAGGUCUCACUACUGUCGCACUACAGAACCCGCAGGUCUCACUACUGUCCACUACAGACCCUUUCAUUACUGUCCAUAGCGAAACCAGGUCUCACUACUGUCCACACGAACCCAGGUCCACUA
rnacentral:lncRNA from 1 species